GCUGUGUUGUCCAGGCUAGCUUCAAACUCCUGGCCUCCCACGUCAGCUUCCCAAGUAGCUGGGAUUACAGGCACGAACAACCACACAUGGCUUUGCUUUAUCUAAUUAGCCUGCCUCAAGUAUUGCUGUACAUCUACCUCCAACUCUACCUAAAUGUGUUAAUAUCUAGUUCCCAUUUUUCCCUUUUAUUUUCAAUUACUUUAUGAGAUGUUUGUCAAAGAGAGUGAAGCAUAGUGUUUUAGACUGCAUUCCAGAGUCAAACGAUUUGAGUUUUAAUUUUUUAUUCUGUCUCUUGUUACCUGUGUAGUACUGGGCAUGUUACCUAGCCUCUUUGACCCUUGAUUUCCUAAUAAUUGUGCCUGUGAGAUAAUGAAUAUAAAUCACCUAUCACAUUGCCUAGAAUAUAAAAGAGUCCAUUAAAUGUUAACAGUAGCAGCUUUAGUCUUUGUUGUUGUUGGCCUACAGAAAUUAAAUAUAGUUUCUUGGGCUUUCCAUAUCUAAAAUACUUUUAAAUGUAUGUGCACACAUACAAAUAUAUACACAGCUAGUUUUUUGCCAUUUAUUCUUAGAGAUGGACACAGUAAAAACAUCUUUAUUUUUUAAGUCUCUGAAGCCAUCUGUCUAGAAUUUUGCUAGAUGAAAUAUCAAAGUUACCAUCUCUGAAAUCCAUAUGUUCUUAUUGAAGGCUUAAAAUUUGUUUUCUCUCUAGUCAUUUAUUAUCUUUUCAGGGGUCUGCAAUUUCUCAAAGAUUAAUAAUACUACUAGAUCUUUUAGUAACUACUUUGGUAUAUCUUUGAGCCUAGUUAAAAAUGAGACAUGGCAUGGGAGGCUGAAAGUAAAUGUGGGAAUUGUUUGGGUAUUUUACUUAGCCAUAGUUCUCAGAUGUUUGUUAGACAGAGACUAAAAUUGUCUGUAGCAAGGAAGAAAAGUAUUAUUUCUACUCAGUGUAGAAAUAGCUAAUAAAUAACUGCUAAAUGACAUAGGUACUGUAUAAGUACUAUAAAUAUAUAUCCAUAUUACAUAUAUUAUGUAUAAUACAUUUUAUUUAACCCCGUUAGCAACUUGAUAUCAGAAAGUUUCAUGUUGUUGCCUGUAUCUUUCUAGCAACAAAGUUACUACUUUGUAAUUUCACCAGUGAGGAAAUUGAGCAUCACACAUCUAAGUGGCACAAUCUGCAGAAUUUGAAUCCAGGUUUUUCUAACACCAAAACCAUGACCUUUUCACCUAAUAUAUGCUGCCUUCCUUUUCUUCCUACUAUUUGGUACUGAUGUGUAUAUUAAACUGAAACUACUAUUCUUUUCUUUCAUUUAUCCCUGGGAAGCUAAUAAAGGUCUGCUAUAUAAGAGAUUUCCAGAGUUAGAAUUGAUGAAGAUCAUGAGUGAAGUUGACAAAUUUCCCUAAAUAAGAAAAGUUUAGCAUUUUAGAAGUAUUAUAAAAUCAUAAAAUCUUAUGAUUGGAAGAGACCUUCUUGGCUGUGUGUUUGUUUACUGGCCAUGUAAUAAUCAUGUAUGUGGGAUUAUAUUAUAAGGAGGUAAUUGUAGUAUUUCUGUGUCUGGAAUACUUUGAGAUUUAAAAUUAAUUAUUGCCUUUAUCUGUUUUCUUCUUUACAACACAUUGUAUUUUAAAAAUUGCUUUUGUGUUUCUAUAAUCUAAUGGUUGCACAAACCUGAUGUAUGCAAAUAAGGAUGAACGGAGAACAAAUAGAGAUUUUAGAAUUCUUCCACAAGUAAGAGAUACCCUUGUGCCCUAGUUUAUAAUAGAAGGAUCCCAGUGACUUGUAUUAAAAUACUGAAAGGGAGUUUUGCACAUAAAAAAUAAGUACAAAUAGGCUGAUUUCAUAUUAAAUAAUUCUGCUUCAUUUUUUAUAAGAAUUUAUCUGAUCAUUGUUCAACAUUGGAUUCACAUUCUACAUUGGUUUUGUGAUCUUAGUAGUGUUAUAGUAUAAAAUGUAGUCAUCUAAUUAGAGUUUAAAUGAAUAUUUUCAAUAAGGUAAAGUUAAACAGAUUCCAUGUGACAGAAUAGACAGAUAUUUUUGUGUAAAUGGCAAACAGCGAAUUUCAAGUAAUGGCUAGUUCCUUAGACUGAUAUUGAGUAUCACUGUAAAGUACCUAAAGAAAAAAUUUUAAAACCCAGAGAAGAAAGAACGGACACUAACAUAUAUAUAUAUAUUAGAUCAUUUCAAUUUCCUCUUGGUAGAAGAGUAAAGUUCCAUGGGGGCAGGGAAUUUGUCAUGUUCUCCACUGUAUUUCUGUCACCUAGAGCAGGAUGCCACACAAGAUAGGUGUUCAGUAAGUAUUCGUGGAAAGGUUCUCUUGGCUUCACAUAUAAGUGUUCUACUAAAAAUGAUGGUAAUAUUUUUGCUUUUGAGUAGAUUAUAUUGAUAAUCAUUUUGGGGUUUUGGGUGAAUAGAAAUAUUUUAUGAUUUUUUUCCUCUAAAUUUCUAGACACUAUUAGCAAAAUAUUUUAUACAAAAGCUAAGAACAAAAUGUACAUAUUUGAGAUAACUAUACUAAGCACAUGCUUGUGUUUAUGCUCAUGUCUUCUUAUCUAGCAUUAGAAAAAUAUAGCUGUAACUGUAUAACAGCCUUUUAUAAAUUGCUAAAUGUCAAGUAAGUGUUGGUUUGAUUUACUUUCCCAGAUUAGGCUCAAAUCUUUGUGUUUAUAUAUAAUUGUAUGUGAAUAUAUUGGUGACAAGGGAAAUUAUUUUGGUUAUCAAAUAUUAGAAAGUUUCAUGUUGUUGUCUGUAUCUUUCUAGCAACAAAGUUACUACUUUCUAAUAAAUCAGAUCUUUUCUUUGACGUGAAUUAAUCCCUUAAGCCACUAAUCCAACAUUUCUCAGAAGUGUCAACUGUGGACAGUUUACAUCAUAUUCACUGGUAGAGCUUAUUUGAAUUAUAGAUUCUCAACAACUACCUAAACCUUCAAAAUCAGAAUAUCUGGGAUGUGAUUCUCUGAAACUUGAAUUUUUGACCAGCUCUAUAGGUGAUUUCUCUGCACUCAGAAGUUUGAGAAUCAUUGUAUGAAACUUUGCUGGAAAUGUCUCUUCCCUGAAGAGAGACUGGAUCCUGAAAGCUCUGCAGAAAGAGUCCUUUACCACAAGCUCUCUGUCCUGCUAAAUCAAGAAAGUAGUCAGUCUUAAGACACUGAUUAUGUCAAUUUGAAUUAGAACCAAAUGUAUACUGUUUUCUAAAGCUGUUAGACUGGAACAAAACAGGAACAUCAAAGUUGCUUACUAGACUAAUCCUCAUAGGAAACAAAAUUACACUCAGUUCCAGUUUCUGACAACAUCCGGGAAAAUGCCUCAGCUGCUUUCAUUGAGGAUUGUCAAUGCCAAACAAGGAAAGCCCGGUGGGGAGCCAGACACUGUAGAACUGAGCUGCCUAGAGAAACAAAAAAAAGUGCCACUUAUUCCAGGUCUACAAUAGCAGAGCUUUCUCUGGUGCUAUCAAAAUUUCAGCCUAAACGUGCCGUGUGUGUGUUUGUGUGUGUGUGUGUGUGUGUGUGUGUGUGUGAGUGAUCAUGUCCUGACUCUAUGAUCAAGUCCUCUCUUCAGCCAUGAUCCACUUUGAUUUUUUUGCCAUCUGCACAAGGCCACUACUGUAUUUGACCUGCCUAAAUGCCCUUGCUCCCCAUCUCCCCAUUUCAUAGAGUAGUUACCAUUUCAUAUAUUGAUUUACAUUCAUCUCACUUCUCUAUCAUCAACUACAAACUGAUCUUGAGUUCAGGGCUUAAAUUAGGCACUCUUGCUUACUAGUUCCUCAAAAGUCAGUUUAAGAAAAUGUGAUUUCACAUAUGCACAUUCUAUGUGAAUAUGUUUGUAUCAGAGAGGUAAAUGGUAAUGCUGGAAUUAAUUUUCCAGAAGUAAUUAUGAGUGUUUAUUGAUGCAUCCAUGUUGUAAUGUCUAGCCCUCAUUAAAUUCAAGGGCAUUCUAAAAUACAGUGGUUAGUAAGAGGAUAAAGCAUACUAAUUAAUUUGUACAUAAAUUAAAUCCAUGACUUCAUUGGCAUUGUCCCCUAGCCAAGCUAACUAGCCACAGAAGUUGGAUUUUGCAUCUAUUUGUCUCGUUUUCUUAAUCAAAAGUGUUUAAGACUAUAAAAUGCUCUUACUUACUAUGUGCAACUCCUGCAAAUACCAUGUUAAUUUGUGAGUACCUCCACAAUCACAAAUUAAAACAUGAAGUAAGAAAAUAGAUGCUUGGCACUAUUGGAAAAUGAUAGUUGGUUAAGCGGAGAUUUAUUGCAUUCAUAUAUGAGAGGAAGAAUUUGACAACUUAAUGAAUUUGUCUUUUCUCUUACCUAAGUGCUUUCAUCACUUAAAUGUUCCUGAAGCUCCAAAGCAGUAUCUUUCUCUGUCUUUAGUAGCAGCACAACCCAUAGUCCUUCAGAAUAUUCUGACACUGACCCCCUUUUGAGGACACAGAGCAACAGCUGUGGAGAAGCAUUUCCUUGGGGCUUGAAGAUGUUACUUGUGAAAGUAGAUGUUUAGAGUUAGUCUGAGGGCCAGAUCUCAGUGGCAGAAGGCAGCCAUGUGUUCUUUAAUAAAUUUAAUUUGGGUUAUUUGUGAUAGCGAGGGCCCUCUGAAACACAGGGUCUGUGGCGGUGUCCACUCUUUCUUGGCCCUAAGGGUGGUCCUGCUUGAGUAUGCAGUCACAGGAGCAGGGUAUGCUGAGACAUAAAAGUUAUGCAUAUAAUCUCAACCAGAUUAUUAUUAUUAAAGUAUCAUUUGUGUACCAGAUAAAAUACCAAAACUUAUUACUGGGUAGGUAGCUCUCACAAAUCUCUGCAGCUAGUUUAUAUGUUUGAGUGACAGCAGACUAUUAAAGGAUAUGAACAAAUAGCAUUGCAAAUUAAAAUUGUGCUGUUCAUAAACAAGUAACCUCCACUGUGCUUCUAAGCAUCUUGGAGUUAUUCUUUUCUUGGUUGUAGCCAAGUUAACAUUUAGUAAUCAUUGUUUAACAUUUAGUACUUCUGAGCAAUGAACUAAGUGUAUUUUUAUCUUAUUUCUAGAAUAGGAAGUAGAAAAGGAAGUAGAAGAAGUUUUCAGUUUAGUAUUGACUCUCAGUCAACAAAUAGGUAAUAGCUAUUUCACAUGAUUUUCUGGUAUUUGCCUCCUGUAGCAUUGUUUUCAAACUCAUUUCCCAAGGUCCUGAGAUAAGGGAGAGGAACUGGAUAUCUGGGCAAUUUUUUUUCUCUGCCAGUAUUGUCAUAGCUGUGACAUAUUUUAUGUUUAAAACUGAUGUAAUAGUCAGGUAAUAUUGUAGUAUAUAACAGGGACCCUUAUGUAAUGUGUGAAAAUAGUAAAAUUAUAUUUAUUCAACAGAAUAUUGCCAUUUAUAUUGUACUUGACUCUAUGUAAAACAUUAAUAAGAUUUCCAGUAAGUGCUUUAAGAUCAGUUUGUGCUUAAAUGAGUGCUUAGAGACUAGUUCUCCAAAGAGAUUUUAUCAAGCAUUUAUAGAAAAUUUUAUCAAGCAUUUAUAGAAAACCUGCAUAAUACGCUCGGUGAGAGGUGGAGGAGCAGCGCUGCCCAAGCUGCACACAGCUACGCGCUCCUUCCCGCUCCUCCAUGUCGGCCUCAGCCCGCUCACCGGCUAUAGAAAAUGGUGAAAGAAGCCACUUACUAUGAUGUUUUGGGGGUCGAACCCAAUGCCACUCAUGAAGAGUUGAAAAAGGCUUAUAGGAAACUGGCCUUGAAGUACCACCCUGAUAAGAAUCCAAAUGAAGGACAAAAGUUUAAACAGAUUUCUCAAGCUUACGAAGUUCUCUCUGAUGCAAAGAAAAGGGAACUAUAUGACAAAGGAGGAGAACAGGCAAUUAAAGAAGGUGGAGCAGGUGGCGGUUUUGGCUCCCCCAUGGACAUCUUUGAUAUGUUCUUUUGGAGGAAGAGGAAGGAUGCAAAGAGAAAGGAGAGGUAAAAAUGUUGUACAUCAGCUCUCAGUAACCUUAGAAGAUUUAUAUAAUGGUGCAACAAGAAAACUGGCUCUGCAAAAGAAUGUGAUUUGUGACAAAUGUGAAGGCCGAGGUGGUAAGAAAGGAGCAGUAGAGUGCUUUCCCAAUUGCCGAGGUACUGGAAUGCAAAUAAGGAUUCAUCAGAUAGGACCUGGAAUGGUCCAGCAAAUUCAAUCAGUGUGCAUGGAGUGCCAGGGCCAUGGGGAACGGAUCAGUCCUAAAGAUAGAUGUAAAAACUGCAAUGGAAGGAAGAUAGUUCAAGAAAAGAAGAUUCUAGAAGUUCAUAUUGGCAAAGGCAUGAAAGAUGGCCAGAAGAUAACAUUCCAUGGUGAAGGAGACCAAGAACCAGGAGUAGAGCCAGGAGAUAUUAUCAUUGUGUUAGAUCAGAAGGACCAUGCUGUUUUUACUAGAUGAGGAGAAGACCUUUUCAUGUGUAUGCUUCCAAAAGCCAAUAUCUACUCUUGACAACUGAACCAUAGUCAUCACCUCUCAUCCAGGUCAAAUUGUCAAGCAUGGAGAUAUCAAGUGUGUGCUAAAUGAAGGCAUGCCAAUUUAUCGUAGACCAUAUGAAAAGGGUCACCUAAUCAUUGAAUUUAAGGUAAAUUUUCCUGAAAAUGGCUUUCUUUCUCCUGAUAAACUGUCUUUGCUGGAAAAACUCCUACCCAAGAGGAAAGAAGUAGAAGAGACUGAUGAAUGGAUCAAGUAGAACUUGGUUCUACUUUGGACUUGGUUCCAAAGCAAGAGAGAAGGCACCAUUACAAUGGAAAAGCAUAUGAGGAUGAUGAACAUCAUCCCAGAGGUGGUGUUCACUGUCAAACCUCUUAAUGAGACCAGUGAAUGAGACUCACUGCUGACAUUUUAUAUGCAGUAGUGAAUGAAUGAAGGACUAUAAUCAUAAUACGCUCACUACUUGCUAUUGUUUUUCUUAUAAUAUUCAACUAUAGUAGUGUUUUAAAAGUUAAAUGAAUAAACACAAAUAUAAAAGCUGACUUUGCCCUGUAUGUAUGAUGACUUCAGUGUGCAAGGUGAAGUUUAAUACCUGUAAAAAUUACUUUAAGAAAAAGUUCUCCUAGCAUUUGUUAGGCUAAAGCUUGUAAUUGAUUUCAGCUAUGUACGUGGACAAGCUUAGACUGAAAUGCUAGGUGUAUGUAUUGGCUUCAUUAUGACCCUUCACUGUUAAACUACGAAAUUAAAACUCUGUUUUUAACUGGCAAUCAGAAAAAGAAAACUUAAAUUUGUAGAGAUGUGUUGGUCUGUAUAGUUAAUUUGUAUUAGGUGUGAUUCAUUGUAAUGCCUCUGAAUUUAUUUUGCCUCAGCUGUUACUUGAAGAUGGCAUACUACAUAAUUUAGCCUGUGGUAUCAGUGAUAGAAAAGAUGCUUUUCAAAAGAAGGGGUUUAUCAUAAUAUGCUGCUUCUUGAGGGCUUGCACUUCUAGAAUUGCAUUCCCUCUGUGCCAUCCAUGUAUGAUAUAUCCAUAUAUGUGUAACUUGACCAGUUUUGGUUAUUUUUCCCUCUUCUCUUUGGACCACGAUAACCCCCCCUGAGUAUUAACUUCCAGAAGUGGAUAAUUUAGAAGUGAAGAGACCGUUACAUGGAGAGGUAAUUUGCAUGCAUAAUAUAGGAAGGUCUUCUGUAGGUAUGUUACAGGCUUACUUUAAACCAUUUGACUUAUGCACUAAAGUAACUGUAAUUCAAUGUUGGUAGUAUAGCAAACGAUGAAUAGCUUUAAUUGUAUAUUUAAAAGUCUCAUUGAUGUGUUCACAUGCUUAAAUCUGGGUAUCAGAAUAUAAGCAGUUCUUGAAAUGUA